GAGAUACAGGGAGAAAGUUGAAGACUUUUGAAUGGAGGAGGAUUUUCACGUCUUGGUUUGGAUUGAUUGCAAUGGCAGCAAGCCAGCACCUCCCUGUCUGCCUGUGUCACUGCAGGGCAAGCAGCAAACCACAGCACCUGGCGCACAGGAGAAUUAGCCUGGAUAUGGAUCCGACCGGACGCUUUGCAGGACGCAGUCAGAGGAAGGUAAUUACACUUGUAGUGUGUUGGUACCUCAGGGACUAAUAAGGCCAAGUUCACCCACAAUGGUGUGUGUGCGUGCGUUCGUGCGUGUUUGUGUGCGUGUGUGCAGCAGGUAGCAUAGCGGUUAAGAGCGUUGGGCCAGUAACCGAAAGGUCGCUGGUNNNNNNNNNNCAUACCCCGACAAUUAGACAGCAAACACACAGUUAGACCUACUUGUAAACUGGUGUGUGUCGGAGUGGGAGGAUGGCAAUUACGGCAGAUUUAGUUGAACUCUAAUCUAGCGCAGUAUCUUGAUUUACUGUGGCUCCGUUCUGCUCUGGAGGAGCGGGCGAAUCGAGGCGGUAGGGGGUACAAAUAGACAUGCUUUCAGUAAUGAAAUCACCUGCCCUUCGGUUCCUCUCACAGCCAGCACCUCCCUGUCUGCCUGUGUCACUGCAGGGCAAGCAGCAAACCACAGCACCUGGCGCACAGGAGAAUUAGCCUGGAUAUGGAUCCGACCGGACGCUUUGCAGGACGCAGUCAGAGGAAGGUAAUUACACUUGUAGUGUGUUGGUACCUCAGGGACUAAUAAGGCCAAGUUCACCCACAAUGGUGUGUGUGCGUGCGUUCGUGCGUGUUUGUGUGCGUGUGUGCAGCAGGUAGCAUAGCGGUUAAGAGCGUUGGGCCAGUAACCGAAAGGUCGCUGGUUAUAAUCCAGAGCCGACUAGGUUAAAAAAUGUGUCCAUCUGCCCUUGAACAAGGAAUUUAACCAUAAUUACUCCUGUAAAUCGCUCUAGAUACGUGUCUUCUAAAUGAUUCAAAUGUAAAAAUAUAUAUAUAUUUAAAAAAUAAAGGUGUG
rnacentral:lncRNA from 13 species